rnacentral:rRNA from 1 species
GCACGCCAGACGGAAGCUAACAUAUUGUUGCUUCUUGAGAUGGCGAGCGGCGAUCCGAAGAGACACAGAUGUGCUCGAUCCUAUGACCGCGGGAUAUCUCAACCACAUAUAUCCUAACACCUUGAAAUACGUGAGGAAGACCGCCGGGUACCGUGUGGGCUUGCUCUGUUUCAUCAGCCGCUAUCUCCUUAUCUACUGGGGGGGUGACACGUGAACCCCGGCCCCAAUCACUGUCGAGUCAGAAAGGAGGAUCCGCUCCACUGGGACUGAGACACAGCCCACACUCCCACUGGCGGACGCCGUGGGGAAUUUUGGACAAUGGGGGCACCCCAGAUCCAGCCACGCGCCGUGUCUGAGUACAGCCUUCUGGAAGUAUAGGACUUUUGUCCGGGACACAGAAGGACGGAAUUAAUACCCCUGCCUGAUGACUCUCCCUGAAGAAUAAGCACCGGCUAACUACGUGCCAGCAGCCGCGGUAAUACGUAGGGUGCGAGCGUAAUUCGGAAUUACUGGGCGUAAAGCGGGCGCAGACGGUUACUUAAGCAGGAUGUGAAAUCCCCGGGCUCAACCUGGGAACUGCGUUCUGAACUGGGUGACUAGAGUGUGUCAGAGGGAGGUAGAAUUCCACGUGUAGCAGUGAAAUGCGUAGAGAUGUGGAGGAAUACCGAUGGCGAAGGCAGCCUCCUGGGAUAACACUGACGUUCAUGCCCGAAAGCGUGGGUAGCAAACAGGAUUAGAUACCCUGGUAGUCCACGCCCUAAACGAUGUCGAUUAGCUGUUGGGCAGCAUGACUGCUUAGUAGCGAAGCUAACGCGUGAAAUCGACCGCCUGGGGAGUACGGUCGCAAGAUUAAAACUCAAAGGAAUUGACGGGGACCCGCACAAGCGGUGGAUGAUGUGGAUUAAUUCGAUGCAACGCGAAGAACCUUACCUGGUCUUGACAUGUACGGAACCCUCCAGAGACGGAGGGGUGCCUUCGGGAGCCGUAACACAGGUGCUGCAUGGCUGUCGUCAGCUCGUGUCGUGAGAUGUUGGGUUAAGUCCCGCAACGAGCGCAACCCUUGUCAUUAGUUGCCAUCAUUAAGUUGGGCACUCUAAUGAGACUGCCGGUGACAAGCCGGAGGAAGGUGGGGAUGACGUCAAGUCCUCAUGGCCCUUAUGACCAGGGCUUCACACGUCAUACAAUGGUCGGUACAGAGGGUAGCCAAGCCGCGAGGUGGAGCCAAUCUCACAAAACCGAUCGUAGUCCGGAUUGCACUCUGCAACUCGAGUGCAUGAAGUCGGAAUCGCUAGUAAUCGCAGGUCAGCAUACUGCGGUGAAUACGUUCCCGGGUCUUGCACACACCGCCCGUCA